AUUGAACGCUGGCGGCAGGCCUAACACAUGCAAGUCGAACGAGUGGCGGACGGGUGAGUAAUGUCUGGGAAACUGCCCGAUGGCGGGGGAUAACUACUGGAAACGGUAGCUAAUACCGCAUACCAUCGGAUGUGCCCAGAUGGGAUUAGCUAGUAGGUGGGGUAACGGCGCAUCUAGGCGACGAUCCCUAGCUGGUCUGAGAGGAUGACCAGCCACACUGUAACUGAGACACGGUCCAGCCUCCUACGGGAGGCAGCAGUGGUGAAUAUUGCACAAUGGGCGCAAGCCGGAUGCAUCCAUGCCGCGUGUAUGAAGAAGGCCUUCGGGUUGUAAAGUACUUUCAGCGUGGAGGCGUUACCCACAGAAGAAGCACCGGCUAACUCCGUGCCAGCAGCCGCGGUAAUAC
rnacentral:rRNA from 1 species